GAGUACUUUUGCAAGUGCAUUUAGGUUUGCCUGAGAUAGAUUUCUGGUAGCCUCUGCUGGGCUCUCUGGAGUGUAUGUUGGAAGUGCUUUCUCCCAACCAGCCGGUAGUUCACCAGUGAUAUGACAGAUUUCAAUUCUGCAGCUUCCUCCUUGUACUUCUUCUCAUACUCGGCAAACUUUUUAUUCCAUUCAGCUUCAAGCGCAGCACCCACUGGAAUAUGGCGACUCCAAUGCUUCUUAACAUCCUCUGGAGCAUGGAAAGGCUCAUAUGGCCAUGCAAGGUUCUUCCUAGUAGCAUCAACUUCCUUGGCACCCAGUGCACUCCCAUGCACGCUGUAAGAGUUUGCCUUGUUUGGAGACCCGUAACCAAUGGUUGUAGUAACCUUGAUCAAAGUGGGUUUGUCUUUCACAGCCUUGGCCUCCUUAAUGGCAGCACGAAUUUCAGGCACGAAUAUCAUCAUAGCCAGUAUUUCCAUUCUUCACCCAGAUAACAUGCCACCCAAGACCCUCAAAACGUUUGUCCACACUCUCAGUGAAUGCAAUUGCUGUGUCACCAUCAAUGGAGAUGUGGUUGUCAUCAUAGAAAGCUAUCAGCUUUCCUAGUCCCCAGUGACCAGCAAGGGAACAAGCUUCAUUUGCAAUCCCCUCCAUUUGACAACCAUCUCCCAAUAUAACAUAUGUGUAGUGGUCAACAAUUUCAUUGUCUGGUUUGUUAAAGCGAGCAGCCAAGUGCUUCUCUGCAAGGGCCAAAC
rnacentral:misc_RNA from 1 species